UUAGAUCAGAAGCGAGAAUGUUGACAUGAGUAGCGACAAACAGGGUGAGAAACCCUGUCGCCGAAAGUCCAAGGGUUCCUGCUUAAAGCUAAUCUGAGCAGGGUAAGCCGGCCCCUAAGGCGAGGCCGAAAGGCGUAGUCGAUGGGAACCAGGUUAAUAUUCCUGGGCCAGCGGGAUGUGACGGAUCGCAGAUGUAGUUUGCCCUUAUCGGAUUGGGUGGGCUGCCGAGCGGUUCCAGGAAAUAGCCCCACAUCAGACCGUACCCUAAACCGACACAGGUGGACUGGUAGAGUAUACCAAGGCGCUUGAGAGAACCACGUUAAAGGAACUCGGCAAAAUGCCUCCGUAAGUUCGCGAGAAGGAGGCCCCAUAUGUACGCAAGUAUGUGUGGGGGGCACAAACUAGGGGGUGGCGACUGUUUACUUAGAACACAGGGUUGUGCGAAGCCGUAAGGCGACGUAUACAGUCUGACGCCUGCCCGGUGCUGGAAGAUUAAGAGGAGGGGUGCAAGCUCUGAGUUGAAGUCCCAGUAAACGGCGGCCGUAACUAUAACGGUCCUAAGGUAGCGAAAUUCCUUGUCGGGUAAGUUCCGACCUGCACGAGUGGCGUAACGAUCUCCCCGCUGUCUCUAACGUGGACUCAGCGAAAUUGAACUGUGUGUCAAGAUGCACACUACCCGCGGUUAGACGGAAAGACCCCAUGAACCUUUACUCCAGCUUUGCACUGGUAUCAGGAUUGUGAUGUGCAGGAUAGGUGGUAGGCAUUGAAGCGGGGACGCCAGUCUUCGUGGAGCCUCCCUUGAGAUACCACCCUUCGCCAUCUUGAUAUCUAACCGCGGCCCGUUAUCCGGGUCCGGGACCCUGCAUGGUGGGGAGUUUGACUGGGGCGGUCGCUUCCCAAACAGUAACGGAGGCGCGCGAUGGUUGGCUCAGACCGGUCGGAAAUCGGUCGUUGAGUGCAAUGGCAGAAGCCAGCCUGACUGCAAGACUGACAAGUCGAGCAGAGACGAAAGUCGGUCAUAGUGAUCCGGUGGUCCCAAGUGGGAGGGCCAUCGCUCAACGGAUAAAAGGUACUCUGGGGAUAACAGGCUGAUGAUGCCCAAGAGUCCAUAUCGACGGCAUCGUUUGGCACCACGAUGUCGGCUCAUCUCAUCCUGGGGCUGGAGCAGGUCCCAAGGGUAUGGCUGUUCGCCAUUUAAAGAGGUACGUGAGCUGGGUUUAGAACGUCGUGAGACAGUUCGGUCCCUAUCUGCCGUGGGUGCAGGAGACUUGAGAAGAGUUGACCCUAGUACGAGAGGACCGGGUUGAACGAACCACUGGUGGACCAGUUAUCGUGCCAACGGUAGUGCUGGGUAGCUAUGUUCGGACAGGAUAACCGCUGAAGGCAUCUAAGCGGGAAGCCCCCUUCAAAACAAGGUCUCCCUUGAGGGCCGUGGAAGACGACCACGUCGAUAGGCCAGAGGUGUAAGUGCAGCAAUGCAUUCAGCUGACUGGUACUAAUUGCUCAA
rnacentral:rRNA from 1 species